rnacentral:rRNA from 1 species
UACGAAGGGGGCUAGCGUUGCUCGGAAUCACUGGGCGUAAAGCGCACGUAGGCGGAUUGCUAAGUCAGGGGUGAAAUCCUGGAGCUCAACUCCAGAACUGCCUUUGAUACUGGCGAUCUUGAGUCCGGGAGAGGUGAGUGGAACUCCGAGUGUAGAGGUGAAAUUCGUAGAUAUUCGGAAGAACACCAGUGGCGAAGGCGGCUCCACUGGCCCGGUA